CCUACGGGAGGCAGCAGUGGGGGAUAUUGCACAAUGGGGGAAACCCUGAUGCAGCGACGCCGCGUGUGGGAAGACGGUCCUCUGGAUUGUAAACCACUGUCCCCAGGGACGAAGAUGACGGUACCUGGGGAGGAAGCUCCGGCUAACUACGUGCCAGCAGCCGCGGUAAUACGUAGGGAGCGAGCGUUGUCCGGAAUUACUGGGGGUAAAGGGAGCGUAGGCGGGACUGCAAGUUGGGUGUCAAAUCUACCGGCUCAACCGGUAGCCGCACUCAAAACUGCAGUUCUUGAGUGAAGUAGAGGCAGGCGGAAUUCCUAGUGUAGCGGUGAAAUGCGGAGAUAUUAGGAGGAACACCAGUGGCGAAGGCGGCCUGCUGGGCUUUUACUGACGCUGAGGCUCGAAAGUGUGGGGAGCAAACAGGAUUAGAUACCCCAGUAGUC
rnacentral:rRNA from 1 species